AGUGCUGCUGCCGCCGCACAGCGAGCUGCCACUGUCCGCCUAGCCUCCGCUGUAUAGAGCCUGUGCAGCUAUCGCUCCGUGUAGUGACGUCACGCAGGUGACGUCGGCGUGACAGGGGCGAGCUGCGCGCACCUGUGGAGCGGCGCUGACGGCCGCAGUGGCUCCUGGACUCUCACCGGACCCUCAUCACACUGACAUGGACGCCGACACCAGCGCCGACACCAGAAACACGACGCAACAACUCGGUUCCAGGAUCUUCUGUUGCUCCUUGGCUGU